rnacentral:rRNA from 1 species
AGAGUUUGAUCCUGGCUCAGGACGAACGCUGGCGGCGUGCUUAACACAUGCAAGUCAAGGGGGCCCGCAAGGGCAACCGGCGAACGGGUGCGUAACACGUGAGCAAGUUUCCUAUUAGUGGGGGAUAGCCGGCCCAACGGCCGGGUAAUACCGCAUAUCUUCACCGGGUGGCAUCGUCUGGUGAGGAAACCUCCGGGGCUAAUAGAGGCGCUCGCGGCCUAUCAGCUAGUUGGUGGGGUAACGGCUCACCAAGGCUAUGACGGGUAGCUGGUCUGAGAGGAUGGCCAGCCACAUUGGGACUGCGACACGGCCCAGACUCCUACGGGAGGCAGCAGUGGGGAAUAUUGCGCAAUGGACGAAAGUCUGACGCAGCGACGCCGCGUGUGGGAUGAAGCCUUUCGGGGCGUAAACCACUGUUGCCCGGGACGAACAUCCCCUUUCGAGGGGACUGACGGUACCGGGUGAGGAAGCACCGGCUAACUCUGUGCCAGCAGCCGCGGUAAUACAGAGGGUGCGAGCGUUGUCCGGAAUCACUGGGCGUAAAGGGCGCGUAGGUGGCUUGGUAAGCGUGUGGUGAAAGUCCGGGGCUCAACCCCGGAUCUGCCGUGCGAACUGCUGAGCUCGAGCAAUGUAGAGGCAGGUGGAAUUUCGGGUGUAGCGGUGGAAUGCGUAGAUAUCCGAAAGAACACCAGUGGCGAAGGCGGCCUGCUGGGCAUUUGCUGACACUGAGGCGCGACAGCGUGGGGAGCAAACAGGAUUAGAUACCCUGGUAGUCCACGCCGUAAACGAUGGGUAUCUAGGUGCUUGGGGGAGCUACCCCCUGGGUGCCGGCCCUAACGCAUUAAGUGCCCCGCCUGGGGAGUACGGCCGCAAGGCUGAAACUCAAAGGAAUUGACGG